UGGUCAAUGGACGAGAGUCUGAACCAGCCAAGUCGCGUGAGGGAAGACUGCCCUAUGGGUUGUAAACCUCUUUUAUAAGGGAAGAAUAAGUUCUACGUGUAGAAUGAUGCCUGUACCUUAUGAAUAAGCAUCGGCUAACUCCGUGCCAGCAGCCGCGGUAAUACGGAGGAUGCGAGCGUUAUCCGGAUUUAUUGGGUUUAAAGGGUGCGUAGGCGGUUUAUUAAGUUAGUGGUUAAAUAUUUGAGCUAAACUCAAUUGUGCCAUUAAUACUGGUAAACUGGAGUACAGACGAGGUAGGCGGAAUAAGUUAAGUAGCGGUGAAAUGCAUAGAUAUAACUUAGAACUCCGAUAGCGAAGGCAGCUUACCAGACUGUAACUGACGCUGAUGCACGAGAGCGUGGGUAGCGAACAGGAUUAGAUACCCUGGUAGUCCACGCCGUAAACGAUGCUCACUGGUUCUGUGCGAUAUAUUGUACGGGAUUAAGCGAAAGUAUUAAGUGAGCCACCUGGGGAGUACGUCGGCAACGAUGAAACUCAAAGGAAUUGACGGGGGCCCGCACAAGCGGAGGAACAUGUGGUUUAAUUCGAUGAUACGCGAGGAACCUUACCUGGGUUUAAAUGGGAAAUGUCGUAUUUGGAAACAGAUAUUCUCUUCGGAGCGUUUUUCAAGGUGCUGCAUGGUUGUCGUCAGCUCGUGCCGUGAGGUGUCGGGUUAAGUCCCAUAACGAGCGCAACCCUUACCGUUAGUUGCUAGCAUGUAAUGAUGAGCACUCUAACGGGACUGCCACCGUAAGGUGAGAGGAAGGCGGGGAUGACGUCAAAUCAGCACGGCCCUUACACCCGGGGCUACACACGUGUUACAAUGGCCGGUACAGAGGGCCGCUACCAGGUGACUGGAUGCCAAUCUCAAAAGCCGGUCGUAGUUCGGAUUGGAGUCUGUAACCCGA
rnacentral:rRNA from 1 species